rnacentral:rRNA from 1 species
AUUGAACGCUGGCGGAAUGCUUUACACAUGCAAGUCGAACGGCAGCACGGGGGCAACCCUGGUGGCGAGUGGCGAACGGGUGAGUAAUACAUCGGAACGUGCCCGGUCGUGGGGGAUAACGUAGCGAAAGUUACGCUAAUACCGCAUACGAUCUGAGGAUGAAAGCGGGGGACCUUCGGGCCUCGCGCGAUCGGAGCGGCCGAUGUCAGAUUAGGCAGUUGGUGGGGUAAAGGCCUACCAAGCCGACGAUCUGUAGCUGGUCUGAGAGGACGACCAGCCACACUGGGACUGAGACACGGCCCAGACUCCUACGGGAGGCAGCAGUGGGGAAUUUUGGACAAUGGGCGCAAGCCUGAUCCAGCCAUUCCGCGUGCAGGACGAAGGCCUUCGGGUUGUAAACUGCUUUUGUAUGGAACGAAAAGGCUCUGGCUAAUACCUGGGGCUCAUGACGGUACCGUAAGAAUAAGCACCGGCUAACUACGUG